rnacentral:rRNA from 1 species
GAUGAACGCUGGCGGCGUGCCUAAUACAUGCAAGUCGAGCGAACGGACGAGAAGCUUGUUUCUCUGAUGUUAGCGGCGGACGGGUGAGUAACAUGUGGAUAACCUCCCUAUAAGACUGGGAUAACUUCGGGAAACCGGAUCUAAUACCGGAUAAUAUUUUGAACCGCAUGGUUCAAAAGUGAAAGACGGUCUUGUUGUCACUUAUAGAUGCAUCCGCGCUGCAUUAGCUAGUUGGUAAGGUAACGCCUUACCAAGGCAACGAUGCAUAGCCGACCUGAGAGGGUGAUCGGCCACACUGGAACUGGGACACGGUCCAGACUCCUACGGGAGGCAGCAGUAGGGAAUCUUCCGCAAUGGGCGAAAGCCUGACGGAGCAACGCCGCGUGAGUGAUGAAGGUCUUCGGAUCGUAAAACUCUGUUAUUAGGGAAGAACAUAUGUGUAAGUAACUGUGCACAUCUUGACGGUACCUAAUCAGAAAGCCACGGCUAACUACGUG